rnacentral:rRNA from 1 species
AGCGCAGGCGGUUGGAGUAGUCUGAUGUGAAAGCCCACGGCUUAACCGUGGAAGGUCAUUGGAAACUGUCCAACUUGAAUGCAGAAGAGGUAAGUGGAAUUCCAUGUGUAGCGGUGAAAUGCGUAGAUAUAUGGAGGAACACCAAUGGCGAAGGCGACUUACUGGUCUGUGAUUGACGCUGAGGCUCGAAAGCGUGGGUAGCAAACA